AACGAACGCUGGCGGCAUGCCUAACACAUGCAAGUCGAACGAGACCUUCGGGUCUAGUGGCGCCCGGGUGCGUCACGCGUGGGAACCUUCCCUUAUGUUCGGCAUAACUCUCCGAAAGGGGUGCUAAUGCCGGAUAAUGUCUUCUGACCAAAGAUUUAUCGCCUUUGGAUGGGCCCGCGUUGGAUUAGCUAGUUGGUAGGGUAAAAGCAUACCACGGCGACGAUCCAUAGCUGGUCUGAGAGGAUGAUCAGCCACACCGGGACUGAGACACGGCCCAGACUCCUACGGGAGGCAGCAGUGGGGAAUAUUGGAAAAUGGGCGGAAGGCUGAUCCAGCAAUGCCGCGUGAGUGAUGAAGGCCUUAGAGUUGUAAAGCUCUUUUACCCGGGAUGAUAAUGACAGUACCGGGAGAAUAAGCUCCGGCUAACUCCGUG
rnacentral:rRNA from 1 species